CCUACGGGUGGCAGCAGUGAGGAAUAUUGGUCAAUGGGCGCGAGCCUGAACCAGCCAAGUAGCGUGAAGGAUGACUGCCCUACGGGUUGUAAACUUCUUUUAUAAAGGAAUAAAGUGAGGCACGUGUGCCUUUUUGUAUGUACUUUAUGAAUAAGGAUCGGCCAACUCCGGGCCAGCAGCCGCGGUAAUACGGAGGAGCCGAGCGUUAUCCGGAUUUAUUGGGUUAAAGGGGAGCGUAGAUGGGUUGUUAAGUCAGUUGUGAAAGUUUGCGGCUCAACCGUAAAAUUGCAAUUGAUACGGGCAGCCUUGGGUACAGUGGAGGUAGGCGGAAUUCGUGGUGUAGCGGUGAAAUGCUUAGAUAUCACGAAGAACUCCGAUUGCGAAGGCAGCUUACUAAACUGCCACUGACAUUGAUGCUCGAAAGUGUGGGUAUCAAACAGGAUUAGAUACCCGAGUAUC
rnacentral:rRNA from 1 species